AACUUAUGUUGAAACAUUUUUGAAAAAAAAUAUUUAGGCACCCUAUUCAUUCUAAUUUAUUUAUUUCUCAUUUUUAUUUAUUUAACCCUUAUGUAGAUUUUUCAAAACUGUGGAAUAUAACUUAGUUUUUUUUUCUAUCGACUACCACUGUAGUACAAUUACAUCGGGAUCGAAGUCGGGCUCGAAAAGCAAUUUAUUUAAAAACAACACACCGCGCCGAAAUUCAAUUUUUUGGAGAGUUCCAUGCAACCAUGUUGAACUUGAUCAUGAUGUUGUACGGGAGGAAGGGGCGAAAGAGAGUUACUCGAAAAGGAGAAGCAUGAUAAACUUUGGAUGGAAUUUAUGUUUUAACAGAAGAUGAAGACAUUUACGACCCUGAUUAGCGUUGCAGUGUGGACUGUGCCUGAGACGAUUCCCCAUAACGCCGGCUAUGUACACAGCUUGUGAAAAUGGAAUCCAAAUGCUCACAAGAAAUGACAAAAGCAAUAUGAAGAUUAACACAACGAAAUUGUGCCAGAAAAGUUUGAAGUAGCUAUGGGAAUGAUCAACAUUGAACUUGCUGAGACUCUCUUCCUGAAAGUGACUUGACCAGAUAUUUGGCUACCCAGUAUGAUGUACGAACUAAUCAUUUGUUGUACAACUUAUUGUGUAUGAGAUUACCACCAUUUACUGGAAGUUUGCAUUUGUUGUCCACUUUAAAAACUUGCUAUCUACAGUG